ACUGAAACUGAGAGUCAGUCUGCAGAUGUAAAGCAAACUCCACUCAUCUCAGCGAAAAAUGAUUUUCAUUCUCUUUUGCCAUUUCCUUACAGCAGGUUUAUCUCUGGGAGUUCAGGUCCAUCAGUCUCCUCCCGCUCUGCUGGGUAGAGAAGGACAAAGCGUGCAGCUGCUGUGCAGCCACGAACACGGCGACCUCAGAGUGAUGCUGUGGUACCGCCGGCGGCCCGGCGAAGCCGCCCUGGAGCUCCUCGGCUACGGAUACACGGAGUUUAGAGACGACGGCAUCGAGGAGGCUUUCAGGAAGAAAGGCUUCAGCUUAGCCGGAGAUCUGAGUGGAAACAAAGCCAAGAACGGCUCGCUCCUCAUCGGGAGCCUGAACGCGGCCGAACACGCCGCCACGUAUUUCUGCGCCGCUAGUAAACCCACAGUGCAUCAAACAGCCAACUGCUCCUGA